GAUGGUAAAUUCUUUAAUUAUAGGCUGACAGAGAUACAUAAAUAGAGGCGCUCUGCACGCCACCUCACUGUUCAAAGCUGCUCCAAUCUACAGUGCCAGCACAGGAUUCUGCAGGCAAAUGACUGAGAAGUUAUAUGCCUUCCAGAAAAGUUCAGAAUUUGCAAAUGCUGCUUUCUGGGACCUGAACGACAGGAAUGCGAUUGGCGCAGCAUCCCAACCAAUCAGAUGAAACAUCAUCUGAGUCCAAGCAGAAAACAUGAGAAUAUGUUUAGAAAUCCACUUUUGCUGAAGGAAAAGUCCAGGCUGAAGGUAAGAAAUCCUGGCAGCAACAUUCUCACAAACAUAUUAACCAACAGACAAUUCUUAUGACAUAUAGUUCCAUCUUCUCAGCACAUUGAUGGCUCCCGACGGCUCCCUUUUCCUGGUGUCCUGCAACGACGCACAGCUAGAUCCUAUUGAGCCUCUUUUUCUCUACAGUAGCUUAUACUGGGUAUACAGUUAAUGUAUAACACACUUCAUGGAAUAUCACUUAUCAGAGAGUCAGUCUCUUGUUAAUUCAGUGGAUUGCUUUACUGAGAAAAGCUACUUUCAGAGCUGUGCGGGACAUCACCAGCGGGGUCAAUUAAUCUAUAGAUAAACACCAAGCGACCUGCAAGCUUUUUAGAAACUAACCUUGGUUACUCUUCAUGUUAAGCUAUUACAAUUUUAUGCACAUAUUUGCCUGAAAUGUUACAGUUAGAUUGAGCAAUAGAGAAAGAUAAUCAAAAUCUCAGUGUUAGAGCAACAGGACUGAUAAACCAGUUAGAACGAUUGCAAACGCUGUACACAUGUAAGAAAGGGGUGCAAAGGGGACAUUUGUAGCUGGAUGUUCUAAGGUUGGACAACAGUAAAAAUGUCCAAACGGUCUCUUAAAUCUUGUUUUUCCUCUUAUUACUUGUAUCUUUUUAUCUCUCUCACAUAAUUGUUCUGAAUUUUCCAAUGCUCCGUUUAAUUACAUGGCACUGAUCCCUGUCCCUGCGUUUACCAUGCCUAAAGACAGAAGGCGAGAGGAGCGUUUUCAGCCGUGCUAACAAACUAAUCUCAGAAAACGUUGAAAAAAGACACUUUUGGGGAUGCAAGGAAGCAUACAGGCAUUGUGCACUGUAGCCCAUAGGUGAGUCAUUGCGCUCUGAAGCUGGUGCAACACUCCUGCUUCCCCGCCUCAUUUCUCCACAAUCAGCCGACAAAAGCAUCUUGUGUUGGUAUAGGCAUGGUAAAUAGAAACAGUACACGCAGACGCAGCAAUGGAGGAAGCAAUACGUGUGCAAGGGGUGGAGAACAACCAGGUUUGUAAGGGGAGAUGUGAAGGUAGAAUGACAGCCACGUUUUAAUGCAACAAGACAGCAUGCAACCUAAGAGAAACGAGUGCUGCUUUAAACUACUAAAGAAAUCACUCAAACCAGACGGCUGGCUUUUGACGAAAAGCCUGAAUGAUAAUAAA